AGAGUUUGAUCAUGGCUCAGAACGAACGCUGGCGGCGUGCCUAACACAUGCAAGUCGAACGCGAAAAGGUCUUCGGAUCUGAGUAGAGUGGCGGACGGGUGAGUAACACGUGGAUAACGUACCUUUCGGUUUGGAAUAACUCGGGGAAACCCGAGCUAAUACCGACUAACACCAUAUAGCGAGAGUUAAAUGGUCAAAGCUGGGGCUUUCUUCGGAAACCUGGCGCCGGAAGAUCGGUCUGCGUCCCAUCAGCUAGUUGGUAGGGUAAUGGCCUACCAAGGCUAAGACGGGUAACUGGUCUGAGAGGAUGAUCAGUCACACUGGAACUGAGAUACGGUCCAGACUCCUACGGGAGGCAGCAGUGGGGAAUAUUGCGCAAUGGGCGAAAGCCUGACGCAGCAACGCCGCGUGAGCGAUGAAGGCCUUCGGGUUGUAAAGCUCUGUCGGAAGAGACGAAGUGGUUGUGGCUUAAUACGUCAUGAUUGUGACGGUUCUCCAAGAGA
rnacentral:rRNA from 1 species